ensembl:lncRNA
CUUUUGGGCUGUUUCUCUAUCUUGGAUAAUAUGAAUAACGACGCAGUGUUUAUAGUGUGCUGGUAUCUUUUCAUGAUUUAACUUCUUUUGAAUAUAUGAUAUUGCAAAUAAAUAAAUAAGGAAUAAAGUUUACCAGAUAGUGAAAUAAUUGUAUAUGGAACAUUGUGGAACAUAGAUGAAAUAACUUAAAGCAAAUACAGAUGAAUGGAAAGACAUCCCAUGUUAGUGGAUCAGAAUGAUCCAUGUUGUCACAUUAUUCACACUGGAAGAGCAGAGUCCCUGAGCCUCAGCCAGGUCUGCUCUGGGUUCGCGCUGCCUUUUCCACACUCUCCCAGCGUCCAACACAGUCUUGAAAGCUCAGACGGAGAUCACUUCUGUCAGAGAAGGGUGAUGUGCUACCAGCCCUGCUUGGUGCACUGCACCAGCAUGCUUGAAAUGGAAAUAAAUCUGAUUCCUCUUGGGACAGAAACAAGCCCUUUAAAUGUAUACUGGGUAAACACGAGAUGAUUUGAGGCUAAGAAGGUGCGGUUGUUCAGAUGAUUGGAGGUCAGACAGCCAACCUGCCCAUCUCCCCAGACUAUGCCUAUGGUGCCCCCGGUACCCAGGCAUCAUCCCGCCACAUGCCACUCUCCACUUUGCUGUGGAGCUUCUAAUGCAGGACUGACUGGGACGGCCUCCUUCCGUUUGCUCCCUGUUCUUGGAUCUGCCAUGAAGUGGUCUGACGCUGCAGAGUCAUGCACAAGAAUCCAAAGAGAGCUUUGCCUGAGGAUCCACUGCACUCUCUGCACAAGCAUCUGCUCAACUGAAUGUGCUCGGCAACUACUUCAGAGGUGGAGAUGGGGUUUCAGGAGUGAAGCUGAAAGAGAAGAGGAACACCUGGAAGAGGCCACACUGGAACCAAGGAAGAACUCCUUUCACAAAUCAUGUUUGACAAGAAAUUUAAAGGAUGACAUUGUAUGGGCCAAAUGCACUGUGCAAGGAAUAGAGAGGACCAGCAAAGAAGAAGGAAUGGCACAUCAUAGAGUAGUAUAUGUCUACUGAAUUAUUGAAUUUUCUUCCAUUCAAUCUCCCACCUGUAUUUCUGAGAACUCUUCUGUGUAAGAAACAUCUGAUAUUAAAGGUUUAGAUAUGCCACUACACUCAGAGAUCAUAGUCUAAUUUCAUCACACAGUACCAAAUGAUAGAUGCAACUCAGAAAUGAGAUCAUCUUUCACGACAGAUAUUUGGCACUAUUUAGCAGUGAGACAGCAAACAUCCUGCAAGCAAUUCAGUAUUUGAUUGUCUCACUGUAGCUACAAAAAAUUAUUAGAGAAAGCUCUGAAAAAUCCAAAAUGAACUAAACUACCUAAACAAGAAAACAAUAUUCUACUAGUUGGAACUCCCAAAAGGUUUAUUUGCCCUCAGAAAGAGGAAGAUGGAUAAGCCUUCUGAUUUUUAUCCAGGCACCUGUUCAUUCCAUUCACCAAGCUGCUUAAUCAUGUGCUGCUGCCAAAGCAGUGACAGGCCAUAUUUCCUAAUAUGAUUUAAUAGAUAAAAUUACAAAAUAGUAAAAGUGAUUUAUUUGACAUAGCAACUGCAACACAGGACAUUCUCAGCUAUUCUCUUCUGUUAUUUUGGGUAGAAAUGAUCCUCUGAAAAAGAGGGUUUUUUUUUUUAAUUUGUAAAUACUGUCAAAUCUUGAUUUGACACACUAAAAUCUAGUAUGGAAGAAGAGUUUUCUUUUCAAUAUUUGCAUGCAUUUCCUAUAUCGAAGAACACACUUCUACUUAGUCAUUUCCUAUUAGAUAUUUAAAGUUGUUUAUUAUCUCUGUGCAAGCAAAAACCACCCUUUAGAGUGCUUGAGACAAAUCAGAGUGACCUGGUAAGAAUCACAGCACAGAUAUCAUUUCAUAUGUAUCGCUUCCUGACUUAGCUGCUAUUGGAUGCAGAGUUCCACUCAGUGAAUAUGAGUGCCUGAAUAAGUGUUGAAAUUACUUAGCAGAGGGCUUAGCUAUCAUUACUUUGGGCUUAUAUUUUUGUUUUAUUCGGAUGAUAAUAUUCCAAUAAAUUAAAGCAAAAUCUACA